rnacentral:tRNA from 1 species
UGGUUCAGUGGUAGAAUGCUCGCCUGCCACGCGGGCGACCCGGAUUUGAUUCCCGG